rnacentral:rRNA from 1 species
GACGAACGCUGGCGGCGUGCCUAAUACAUGCAAGUCGUGCGGACCUUUUAAAAGCUUGCUUUUAAAAGGUUAGCGGCGGACGGGUGAGUAACACGUGGGCAACCUGCCUGUAAGACUGGGAUAACGCCGGGAAACCGGGGCUAAUACCAGAUCGUUUUUUCCUCCGCAUGGAGGAAAAAGGAAAGGCGGCUUCGGCUGCCACUUACAGAUGGGCCCGCGGCGCAUUAGCUAGUUGGCGGGGUAACGGCCCACCAAGGCAACGAUGCGUAGCCGACCUGAGAGGGUGAUCGGCCACAUUGGGACUGAGACACGGCCCAAACUCCUACGGGAGGCAGCAGUAGGGAAUCUUCCGCAAUGGACGAAAGUCUGACGGAGCAACGCCGCGUGAGGGAAGAAGGCCUUCGGGUCGUAAAACUCUGUUGCCGGGGAAGAACAAGUGCCGUUCGAACAGGGCGGCGCCUUGACGGUACCCGGCCAGAAAGCCACGGCUAACUACGUG